UAGGGAAUCUUCCACAAUGGACGCAAGUCUGAUGGAGCAACGCCGCGUGAGUGAAGAAGGUUUUCGGACCGUAAAGCUCUGUUGUUGGUGAAGAAGGAUAGAGGUAGUAACUGGCCUUUAUUUGACGGUAAUCAACCAGAAAGUCACGGCUAACUACGUGCCAGCAGCCGCGGUAAUACGUAGGUGGCAAGCGUUGUCCGGAUUUAUUGGGCGUAAAGCGAGCGCAGGCGGAAGAAUAAGUCUGAUGUGAAAGCCCUCGGCUUAACCGAGGAAUUGCAUCGGAAACUGUUUUCUUGAGUGCAGAAGAGGAGAGUAGAACUCCAUGUGUAGCGGUGGAAUGCGUAGAUAUAUGGAAGAAUACCAGUGGCAAAGGCGGCUCUCUGGUCUGCAACUGACGCUGAGGCUCGAAAGCAUGGGUAGCGAACAGGAUUAGAUACCCUGGUAGUCCAUGCCGUAAACGAUGAGUGCUAAGUGUUGGGAGGCUUCCGCCUCUCAGUGCUGCAGCUAACGCAUUAAGCACUCCGCCUGGGGGAGUACGACCGCAAGGUUGAAAC
rnacentral:rRNA from 1 species